AGGGGAAAAUUGGGGGGAAGGUCAUUCCACUGAAGACCCAUGAGAUUGAUUUUCCCCUCUUCUUUCCCAGCAUUUAUGACUAUAAUUUUGGACAAUAAUAACCCUGCUCAAAUAUACAAUUACCAAAUUUACCCAUUGAAUCUCCUCGCAAUCUAUGCCUCUUUCAUCAGUUCCAAAGUCAUGCCUCAUUAGCGCGUCUGUUUCGCGCCUUUUUCAUCACUUACAAAGUCACACUGACACAUUCCAAAAGCUCUAUAUCAAGGGAGACGAAUUGGAUCAUCUUCACUCACAAAGAAUUCAUCUGUUCUCAUCCGUCUCACACAACAGCUUUCAUUAAAUCAGCUUUCAUUCGAUUCACUCUUCUUCCACAAUCAGCCUUAUCUCUCCCAAGUGAUCAAAGAUGAUGCAAGGCAAUAUAUGGAUGUCCAUGAACCCAAUCAAUCUUGCAGAAAGCAUGACACUUGUUCUCAGGUUUCAAAUCCUUCAUUCUUUAGGGAGAGCUAUGUAUGUCGCUGGAAGUCUAUUGGAGCAACCAGAUUCCAACUCAGAGUUCAGAGGACUCCGGGUUGUAGUAGUAGAUGAUGAUAAUGUAAACAGGACUACGACCACUAAACUGCUCCAGAAGCUUGGCUGUCAAGGCAGUACUGUUUCUUUGAGGUUUGAUUGCUUGAGUACCCUUGGCAGUUCUGAAAAUCCAUUCCAGAUUGUUGUUUUGGAUCUUCACAUGGCAGCAAAUUCCUUCUCUUGUUGAAAAAUUGGUGUACUUUUGAAUUGUUAUGAUGUUGUUUUUAUUUUAAAAUACAAGGGUAUUAUUGAAACAUAGCUAUAUUUUUACUUUCCUUUCCUUCACCAACCAAACAAUGGAAGGGAAAUCAAAUGGUCUUUCCUGGAUGCUUUCCCUGCUUUACCAAACACAGGAAAGGAAACCUGACAGGAACUUUAGUUUCCCUUCCCCACUGGAAAGACAAGGGAAUUGAUUUCCCUUCCGUGAA